rnacentral:rRNA from 1 species
UGGGCGUAAGAGCUCGUAGGCGGUUUGUCGCGUCUGCUGUGAAAGGCCAGGGCUCAACCCUGGUUCUGCAGUGGGUACGGGCAGACUUGAGUGAUGUAGGGGAGACUGGAAUUCCUGGUGUAGCGGUGAAAUGCGCAGAUAUCAGGAGGAACACCGAUGGCGAAGGCAGGUCUCUGGGCAUUAACUGACGCUGAGGAGCGAAAGCAUGGGGAGCGAACAGGAUUAGA